rnacentral:misc_RNA from 1 species
AAGUCGUAACAAGGUUUCCGUAGGUGAACCUGCGGAAGGAUCAUUAUCGUACAAAAUGUGUGAGGCAUGCAAGGGCUGUCGCUGACUCAAAGUCGUGCACGCCGGAGUGUGUCCUCUCACAUAAUAAUCCAUCUCACCCUUUGUGCACCACCGCGUGGGCACCCUUUGGGAUCAGACCGAUCUCGGAGGAUGCUCGCGUUUUCACACAAACCCCCCUUAUAAAAGUGUAGAAUGUCCUCAUUUAUGCGCUAACCCGCAAUCAAUACAACUUUCAACAACGGAUCUCUUGGCUCUC